rnacentral:rRNA from 1 species
UCAAGUUUCUAAGAGCAAACGGUGGAUGCCUUGGCAUCUGGAGCCGAAGAAGGACGUAGCAAUCUGCGAUAAGCCUCGGGGAGCCGAUAAGCGGGCUUUAAUCCGAGGAUUUCCGAAUGGGGAAACCCAGCUGGGCGCCUUUGGUGACCCAGUUACUCCAGUCUGAAUACAUAGGGCUGGAGAGGGAACGUGGGGAAGUGAAACAUCUCAGUACCCACAGGAAGAGAAAACAACAGUGAUUCCGUUAGUAGUGGCGAGCGAACGCGGAAGAGGCUAAACCGGUCGUGUGUGAUAGGCGGUAGCUGUUGCACGGUCGGUGUUGUGGGACUCUCAUGGUCUUCUACCGGAGACCGCAUGGACUCGCGCACGUAUAGACGAAUGGCAUUGAAAGGCCAGCCACAGCGGGUGCCAGCCCCGUAGUCGAAAUGCGUACCGGACGUGGAGAGGAUCCCAAGUAGCACGGGGCCCGAGAAAUCCCGUGUGAAUCUGCCAGGACCACCUGGUAAGCCUAAAUACUCCCAGAUGACCGAUAGCGGACAAGUACCGUGAGGGAAAGGUGAAAAGUACCCCGGGAGGGGAGUGAAAUAGUACCUGAAACCGUUUGCUUACAAACCGUUGGAGCCUCCUUGUUGGGGUGACAGCGUGCCUUUUGAAGAAUGAGCCUGCGAGUUAGCGAUAUGUGGCGAGGUUAACCCGAGAGGGGUAGCCGUAGCGAAAGCGAGUCUGAAUAGGGCGAUUCAGUCGCAUGUCCUAGACCCGAAGCGAAGUGAUCUAUCCAUGGCCAGGUUGAAGCGACGGUAAGACGUCGUGGAGGACCGAACCCACUUAGGUUAAAAACUGAGGGGAUGAGCUGUGGAUAGGGGUGAAAGGCCAAUCAAACUUCGUGAUAGCUGG